UACGAGGGGGGCAAAUGUUGUUCGGAAUCACUGGGCGUAAAGGGAGCGUAGGCGGGUUUCUAAGUCAGGUGUUUAAUCCCGGGGCCCAACCCCGGACAGGCACUUGAAACUGGGAAUCUUGAAUAGGGGAGAGGUCAGUGGAAUUGGAGGUGUAGCGGUGGAAUGCGUAGAGACCUCCAAGAACACCAGUUGCGAAGGCGGCUGACUGGACCCAUAUUAACGCUGAGGCUCGAAAGCAUGGGGAGCAAACAGG
rnacentral:rRNA from 1 species